UGGGGAAUAUUGGACAAUGGGCGCAAGCCUGAUCCAGCCAUGCCGCGUGAGUGAUGAAGGCCUUAGGGUUGUAAAGCUCUUUCGCCGACGAAGAUAAUGACGGUAGUCGGAGAAGAAGCCCCGGCUAACUUCGUGCCAGCAGCCGCGGUAAUACGAAGGGGGCUAGCGUUGUUCGGAAUCACUGGGCGUAAAGCGCACGUAGGCGGAUUGUUAAGUCAGGGGUGAAAGCCUGGAGCUCAACUCCAGAACUGCCCUUGAUACUGGCAAUCUCGAGUCCGGAAGAGGUAAGUGGAACUGCGAGUGUAGAGGUGAAAUUCGUAGAUAUUCGCAAGAACACCAGUGGCGAAGGCGGCUUACUGGUCCGGUACUGACGCUGAGGUGCGAAAAGCGUGGGGAGCAAACAGGAUUAGAUACCCUGGUAGUCCACGCCGUAAACGAUGGAGGCUAGCCGUUGGCGAGCAUGCUCGUCAGUGGCGCAGCUAACGCAUUAAGCCUCCCGCCUGGGGAGUACGGUCGCAAGAUUAAAACUCAAAGGAAUUGACGGGGUCAUAGCUGUUUCCU
rnacentral:rRNA from 1 species